rnacentral:lncRNA from 1 species
CAGUCUUUCUUCUCCACUGAAGGCCGGGAUUCUCAGUGCCUGGCACACGGCUUUGAAUAUAGCAGCCACCCAGAUACUUCAAUUACUACAAAUAGACACAACUCCAUUUCCCCUGAGGGCAGUGUGGUCAAGUGGGCCGUAUGGGGCUCUGAGAGAGGAAUCCACAGCAGCUUCAGCAUUGGAGGAGACUGAACCGAGAAUCCCAGAGAGAGGGCUACCAGGUUUUCUUCCUGAUCGAAUCCUCAAGCUUCUCGAACGUGUGGAGACCAGAAGCCUUGUCGGUGCAGUGCUCAUGCCCUGAACGUUCUAGGGAUCAAAGUGUGGGGGAAGGGAAGAGCCAGGCGGAGGAAGCGGGAUCGUGUUGGAGAGUGGAUGGACUGUGCACAAGGAGGAGUGGCGUGCAGGCCAGAGCAGCGCCUCGCUGGGCUGGUGUGGAAGACGGUGGGCGUCCGCCCCCUCCCAGCUUAUUUUCUGCCGGGCCAGCACCUCUCUUCCAGCUCAGAGCCUAACUCCACACUCAGAGGCUCUCCACUGCCCCAGAUCGGGUAAUGACACCAGUAUGAAAGAGCCUUUCAGAGAGGGAGGCACAGAGAAAGACGAGGAGGUGGGCGGGGUGCUUUGUUCUGAGCCUCCUCCAACGGGGGGCAGGGCCAGGGACAGGCCCACAGGCAGGAACACACCACACUCAGUCAGGCUAGCAUCAGUUUUGAAGAGGAAAUGACACUUCUUUGUCUCCGUGUGGUUGCCACCCUGGCCUGCUCUGCUUGUCUGAAGCAACCGUGAGCUCUUGGUAAGAGGUGGUUAAAGAGAUAUGGC